rnacentral:lncRNA from 1 species
AGACAAGGAGGGACCAAAAGAUACAGAAGAGGAACAUUAAUAGGUAUGUGUUUGAAUACUAGUUAUGUUAUUAAAAGUUGUGUGACCAGAAAUUCAAACCUGCCUAGACUAUACAGCUAUGUUAACAUUCGGGACGAAUGUUCCUAAGGAGGGGAGGAUGUAACACCCCACAUUUUACCUGUACUAGUAAUGUUCACAUAAAAUGACAUACGACUUGAUUUAAUUACUACCAAAAUUUUUCAAGUGUUCAAGUGUUGGAUUGGGGCACUAUAUGGAAGUCUAUUUAGAGACUGUGGCCUUAAACGGAGAAAAUCAUUGACAUGCUUAUGGAACUUAGGAAGCUAGCAGGUGAGUCACCUGUGUGCUUAGCUUAAAAAUUAUAUAUACAUG